GAACACUCAGAGCAGAGUCCACGGGCCGACCAGCCUUCGCGCGGUCAGGGCAGCCCCCAGGCGUGUGCCGCUCCCGGCACAGAAAACGAAUCAGUUCUGUCAUACACGCGACUCGCCCAGGAACCUCUGCGCAGCCCCUGGCGUUCAAGAAUUUUCAAGGGGUGUCCAUGGUAAACCGUGAAUUACGCCGGGGAGCGUGAUGGUCACGCAGAAGCGAACAGCUCGGAGGAUUUCCACACCAGGCACUGCCUGCCAGGGGGCAGGGGUCGGGCUUGGGGACCCUCGGCUGACCCGUGAGACUGCUUGACAGCAAGAGGCUGGACACGGCCUCGAGGGCGACCCGCCUUCUUGCCCGGGUCCCUGGAAAAGGAUGGGUCUUCCCGAGGAGAAGCGCUGUCAGGACUCGAAUUCUGGAAAGAAAAUUAGGACGGUUAAGUGGGGCGGGACGAGCUGAAGAAGAUACCAGAAGUGGUGGGCAGUGUUUUAAGGAAGCGGCGGUGUGUCCGUCGAUGCACGUCAGGGUUCUUAUCUGGACGACACGAGGACCGUCCAAAGAAGUCACGCGCGGGCAUCGUUAAUUCUAAGCUGUGACUUGCUUGAGAGCAGAAAUGUUAACAUUUGGGAUGAUUUCAGCGUGAAAAGGAGAUGUGAUAGAAGCUUAACGGAAAGCUUCGGGCUGACGGGGGCUUUCUAAGAGUGUCCAGCUCUGUUCGCACUGCGCUGUUUAUCACCUGGAAUUCAGCAGGGAGUCAGAGGGGACCGUGCUAAUGGAUGUCACUGCUCCAUCAAGAUAUUCCAACCCCAUCCAGAAAGAAAGAAGAAAGCAGAAUGAACUUUUGACCAAUAUUGAUGAUCCUCUGUGCAGUUUUACACGGUGACGGCUGGAGGAGCCUCCUGCAGACUCGCUUCUGAACCUGUGCACGUGAGACCUACUUCUCCUCCCGACCCACAGCGGGUGCCCUGGGAUUGACUGUUAUCUCUGGCCCUGCGUCUUGCAGUCUUGGGGCUGGGCCAGUAGACACAGCGUGUGGUAG
ensembl:lncRNA